UACUAAGGGUGCAAGCGUUAAUCGGAAUUACUGGGCGUAAAGGGUGCGUAGGCGGUUCGUUAAGUCUGUCGUGAAAUCCCCGGGCUCAACCUGGGAAUGGCGAUGGAUACUGGGCAGCUAGAGUGUGUCAGAGGAUGGUGGAAUUCCCGGUGUAGCGGUGAAAUGCGUAGAGAUCGGGAGGAACAUCAGUGGCGAAGGCGGCCAUCUGGGACAACACUGACGCUGAAGCACGAAAGCGUGGGGAGCAAACAGG
rnacentral:rRNA from 1 species